UUCUAUUUAAGGUUCAACUUCUUGUUUGGAGAUUCAAUCAUCUCAUCAAUCAUUCACACAGCGACGAUGCUGAUAGUGAUUAUCAGAACCCUUUCUCUUCUUUAUCUUUCUUCUUUGAUUCUCUUUAUCUAGUUCUCUUCUCUAUUUUUAGGGUUCAAACUACUCUGAUUUCAGAGAACUUACCGAGUCUUAAAUCAGUAAUCUCUCCGAGAUUAAGGUCGAAUGACUUGUUGAUUUCAGAGAUAUAUAUCAAAUCCCAAGUCAUUCCGACCAAUUUAUUAGGGUAAUUUUUUUCAAUCUGAGAAAAAAGUCUUAUUAGGGUUUAGACUAACAAAUCUCAUAUUUUCUUUCAUUUUCUAAAUUUAGGGUUAUUCUCAUAAGUUCAAGAUUUGUAGAGUUUUGAUGGAUUUCUGGUAAAGUUCAUUUAUAUUGUGGUUUUUUUCGAUUGCUUGAAGAGUUAGGGUUCUUCAAUUUUUUUAAAGAUUUUUUUGUCUUAUCCAAUUGUUCUUGUUCUUCAUUGAGAUGAAUUUACGAGAUUGAGGUGGAGUUAAAGUUAAUAUAAGAUAUGAAAAGAUGGGCUUUCUUCUGAUUUGAGUUUGCACAGAAGUCAUGAGAAUUUGGGGAGGAUUUGAACAGAGAAAACUCACAUCAAGAGUUUACAAAUUCUGGUACUCUCGGUGUUUUUGACCAUUUCUUUGUAAGUUUUACUUUUUAAAUCUGGGGUUUUGUCCAUUUGAGUCUGUGUUUCUGUUUUCUGUUUAGAGUUUAGAAAGCUAUUUACAUGACGUUCAACCGAUGAUCUGACAAGGCUAUGGGAUUAUUUCAUGGGAGAACAGUAUGUUUUUCUUCUUCAUUCAUGUUUUGGUUGUGACCGUAUAUGCUGCGACCGUGGAUGUCCAUGUUUUUCCGUUGAUGUUCUGCUUCUUGAGAUAUCUUUUGGAUUUUUGACUUUAAUUUUCUUCUGAAGUUAAAAUUUAGAAAUGUUCGUUUUACAACUUUUCUAACCGUAAGAGAUAUGAAGAGAAUAGAAGUCAGUUUCGAUUAGUUUCAUGCUUAAUUAGUUUUGUUGUCUGUACAUCUUCUGAUUUAAUAGGUAGUCACUCUGACUUUAUAAAGAGGAAUCAGUUAAUAAGGAGAUGGAUGCUAUAGCUGGUGCUUCUUCAAAUCACUUGGCAAGGAAAAGAUCUCUUAUCCUAAGGUCGACCUUCCUGAGGGAGCAUAUGAAGAAUAAGCAGUAAACCUUAGGUAUGGAGAAAGUAGUACCAAUUUUAAGAAUGAGUAAACCUUAGGUAUGUCCCCAAGGUUUUCAUUCGUCUUACGGCUGCUGCAGCUUUCCAGCCAUAUGAGUAUGUCGACAAUGUUUGUUUUCCUAUAGCUGAUCCCUAUAUGCAUUGACAUCAUCUUGGGGAGCAUAUGAAGAAUGAAAACCUCUUAAUAAGUACCACAGUGGACAAGAAUUAACUGGCGGCGGGAAAUGAUAUGGUUGGUACUCUUUUUGGCUGCCAAGCUCAGAAAGCUCUAUAUGGUUUAAAUUCCGCUUACAACCGAUACAUCAUCAAUGACCUAUUAGCGGUUUGAGUUAUAUUCGAUUAUCUACAGAAAUUCAUCGUGCUGCAUAGUGAGCUCAAGAAAAUUUCAUAAUUACUGCAAAAAAUGUAUUGCAAGUAUACAACAUCACAAUUGCUCCAUUAAAAUAGAAUAUUCCAUGGGCCAAAAUGAUUUCAACGGGGAAGAUGCUACUGGAGAGUAUGUUACAGACUUGUUGCAUGUGAAGAAAUCGCUAUCUGCGGCCAGACACAAAAGUUUCAACUAUUUGGUGUGAAAAGGAAGACUCUGACUUUCUUGGUAUUUCACCUGUAGUUUGGGUGAUGUCUUGUCUUCGUUGACCUCGAAGAAGGAGAUGAUACCUUAUGAGAACUCUAGACUCACAAGACUACUCGAAGAUUCAAUAGGAGGAAGCUCAAAAACAUUGUUGAUCGUAAAUGUUUGUCCCAAUGCUUCUAAUCUGCCCAAGACACUGUCAGCUCUUACUUUCUCUGCAAGAGCUCGGAGUGCGGAGCUAAGUCUUGGGAAUCGAGAUACCAUUAAGAAAUGUAGAGAUGUUGUAAGUUUGUGUUAAAUCUUCUGACAGUGUAUUAUUCUUUUCAAUGGAGUACAGAAGGCCUGGAAAGUUUCCUUUAUAGUGCAGGCAGAUCUAAAGUCAGAAAAUCUGAUGUUGUCUGAAAAGCAUAAGAUUGAGAAGGAUCGAAACACACAACUCAGAAAUCAAGUUGCCCAUAUUUUGCAACUGGAGCAAGACCAGAAAAUUCAGAUACAAAAAUGCGAUUCGACAAUUCAGGUGCACCUUAAUAUAUGGAUUCACAUCUGCAAACUCUAGCGUAGAGAACAAGAGUUGGUGCUCCUUAGAUAACUUGAAGAAACUCCAAGAUCUCAAAACCUAGAGAUGAAGAAGAAAAUUUCUUAGAGAAAGAUGUGGGAACCAAUCUGUUUGACGUUGGCAGCAACAGUAGGGAAUAAUAUUGGUAAAGUUUUGCAGAAGAAAGGAAAUGUUAUUCUUCCUCCUCUUUCAUUGAAGCUCAAGGUAUCUUCUUUUGUAAUUUCUUGACAUGGAUUUGUGAUUUAUAACAACGGGUUCCUGUUGAAUUUCUAUUUUAUCAUUGGAAUGGGUACUUGAAUCAAUUUCUAAA